rnacentral:rRNA from 1 species
UACGUAGGGUGCGAGCGUUAAUCGGAAUUACUGGGCGUAAAGCGUGCGCAGGCGGUUGUGCAAGACAGAUGUGAAAUCCCCGGGCUUAACCUGGGAACUGCAUUUGUGACUGCACAGCUGGAGUGCGGCAGAGGGGGAUGAAAUUCCGCGUGUAGCAGUGAAAUGCGUAGAUAUGCGGAGGAACACCGAUGGCGAAGGCAAUCCCCUGGGCCUGCACUGACGCUCAUGCACGAAAGCGUGGGGAGCAAACAGG